rnacentral:tRNA from 1 species
GAGGGUGUAACUUAGUGGUAGAAUUCAUGCUUAGCAGGCACACGGUCCUGGGUUCAAUCCCCCAGCACCUUCU